rnacentral:misc_RNA from 1 species
CACUCAGUAGAUUUCUACUGCUCAGGGAGAGCGGAAAGUUUCCAGCUUGCUGGUAUACAAGUACGCUCUCUGUCUGAUACCCUUGUCUUUUUGCGUACUCAAGUUUCCUCGGCGGGCUUGCCCGCCGGUUGGACAACCUUAUAACCUUUUUAAUUUUCAAUCAGCGUCUGAAUAAUUAUAAUAAUUA